AUUGAACGCUGGCGGCAUGCUUUACACAUGCAAGUCGAACGGUAACAGGUUAAGCUGACGAGUGGCGAACGGGUGAGUAAUGCAUCGGAACGUGCCCGAUCGUGGGGGAUAACGCAGCGAAAGCUGCGCUAAUACCGCAUACGAUCUGAGGAUGAAAGCGGGGGACCGUAAGGCCUCGCGCGAUCGGAGCGGCCGAUGUCAGAUUAGGUAGUUGGUGGGGUAAAGGCUCACCAAGCCAACGAUCUGUAGCUGGUCUGAGAGGACGACCAGCCCCACUGGGGCUGAGACACGGCCCAGACUCCUACGGGAGGCAGCAGUGGGGAAUUUUGGACAAUGGGCGAAAGCCUGAUCCAGCAAUGCCGCGUGCAGGAAGAAGGCCUUCGGGUUGUAAACUGCUUUUGUACGGAGCGAAAAGGUCUCCUCUAAUACAGGGGGCUCAUGACGGUACCGUAAGAAUAAGCACCGGCUAACUACGUGCCAGCAGCCGCAGUAA
rnacentral:rRNA from 1 species